CGAUUAGGGAUCGGUUGUUGUUCUUUAAUUGACGCCAUUGGGCNCCUUACGAGAAAUCAAAAGUCUUUGGGUUCUGGGGGAAGUAUGGUCGCAAGGUUGAAACUUUAAAGGAAUUGACGGAAGGGCACCACCAGGAGUGGAGCCUGCGGGCUUAAUUUGACUCAACACGGGGAAACUCACCAGGUCCAGACNCAAUAAGGAUUGACAGAUUGAGAGCUCUUUCUUGAUUUUGUGGGUGGUGGUGCAUGGCCGUUCUUAGUUGGUGGAGUGAUUUGUCUGCUUAAUUGCGAUAACGAACGAGACCUUAACCUACUAAAUAGUGCUGCUAGCAUUUGCUGGUAUAGUCACUUCUUAGAGGGACUAUCGAUUUCAAGUCGAUGGAAGUUUGAGGCAAUAACAGGUCUGUGAUGCCCUUAGACGUUCUGGGCCGCACGCGCGCUACACUGACGGAGCCAGCGAGUAUAAACCUUGGCCGAGAGGUCUGGGAAAUCUUGUGAAACUCCGUCGUGCUGGGGAUAGAGCAUUGUAAUUGUUGCUCUUCAACGAGGAAUUCCUAGUAAGCGCAAGUCAUCAGCUUGCGUUGAUUACGUCCCUGCCCUUUGUACACACCGCCCGUCGCUACUACCGAUUGAAUGGCUUAGUGAGGCUUCCGGAUUGGUUUAGGAAAGGGGGCAACUCCAUUCUGGNACCGAGAAGCUAGUCAAACUCGGUCAUUUAGANCAAGUAAAAGUCGAACAAGGU
rnacentral:rRNA from 1 species